GACGAACGCUGGCGGCGUGCUUAACACAUGCAAGUCGAACGAAGUGGCGAACGGGUGAGUAACGCGUAAUCAACCUGCCCUUCAGAGGGGGACAACAGUUGGAAACGACUGCUCAUACCGCAUACUGAAGGAGGGGCUGUCGUCUGAUUAGCUAGUUGGAGGGGGAACGGCCCACCAAGGCGAUGAUCAGUAGCCGGGCUGAGAGGAUGAACGGCCAAAUUGGGACUGAGACACGGCCCAGACGCCUACGGGAGGCAGCAAGGGGGAAACUUCCGCAAUGGACGAAAGGCUGACUGAGGAACGCCGCGUGAGUGAUGACGGCCUUCGGGUUGUAAAGCUCUGUUAAUCGGGACGCGGUACCGGAAUAGAAAGCCACGGCUAACUACGUGCCAGCAGCCGCGGUAAUUC
rnacentral:rRNA from 1 species